rnacentral:rRNA from 1 species
GACGAACGCUGGCGGCGUGCUUAACACAUGCAAGUCGAACGAUGAAGCCGGAGCUUGCUCUGGUGAAUUAGUGGCGAACGGGUGAGUAACACGUGAGUAACCUGCCCUUGACUCUGGGAUAACUGCUAGAAAUGGUAGCUAAUACCGGAUACGACCCUCGGAGGCAUCUCCAGGGGGUGGAAAGAAUUUCGGUCAAGGAUGGACUCGCGGCCUAUCAGCUAGUUGGUGAGGUAACGGCUCACCAAGGCGACGACGGGUAGCCGGCCUGAGAGGGUGACCGGCCACACUGGGACUGAGACACGGCCCAGACUCCUAUGGGAGGCAGCAGUGGGGAAUAUUGCACAAUGGGGGCAAGCCUGAUGCAGCAACGCCGCGUGAGGGAUGACGGCCUUCGGGUUGUAAACCUCUUUUAGUAGGGAAGAAGCGAAAGUGACGGUACCUGCAGAAAAAGCACCGGCUAACUACGUGCCAGCCGCCGCAGUAA